UACGUAGGGGGCUAGCGUUGUCCGGAAUCAUUGGGCGUAAAGAGCGUGUAGGCGGUCCGGUAAGUCCGCUGUGAAAGUCGGGGGCUCAACCCUCGAAUGCCGGUGGAUACUGUCGGGCUAGAGUGCGGAAGAGGCGAGUGGAAUUCCUGGUGUGACGCGGUGAAAUGCGCAGAUAUCAGGAGGAACACCUAUUGCGAAGGCAGCUCGCUGGGACGUAACUGACGCUGAGACGCGAAAGCGUGGGGAGCAAACAAG
rnacentral:rRNA from 1 species